CCGAGAGGGAGUUUCUUUGGGGAAGGAAGGGCCAUUUUCGCCACUGAACAAAGAAUGAAAACGCACCAACAAAGGGAUCCCCCUCCCCAGUGAGGGAGACGCAGGAUCAGAGAAACGAGAGAGACAUCGGGGGGAAAACACACGGGCUAGAGAGAGCCAGGCAGAGGAAGAAAGGAUCUCUCUCCACUGAACUGCGGAAGGGUUUGCCCACCUCGCCUGCCGCUCUUCUCCUCCUUUGCCACCCUGCUCCCUUCCCUCCGUUCUCCUCUCUCUGAGGUUUGCAAACAAAACGUCACCAAUCGAUAAGCCUCUCGCUGUGUGUGUGUGUGCGUGUGCGUGUGUGUGUGAUCCUGACCGGCCGGACUCCCAAAUCUGCCGCUCCCGACUUGUUCACUACCUCUGUAGGAAGCCACAGGAAGUUCCCAGCCAGGCGAGCGGCCCUUUGGCGGAGGAUGGCGGAGCUGGGACAGGUGCAGCCUUGAGAACGGCGAGAGAGCAGAGAACAGAAAGAGAGAUGCAGCGACAAGCAACAUUAAAACAACAGACAACAGGGAAAUGAACCCCCCACCUAUUGCAAGAGAAGUAAGUUCGCCUGAUGCCGUAACAGCUCAAAGUGUCAGUAACAGUUUUGGAAGCCGCCUGAGCACUUUUCCUUUAAUCUGGCGUUUUUGCAACAGAACUGUCCCUCUUAAUUCUCAAUUAAUUAUUAUUAUAACGCUUAAUAAAAUCAGUAAUAUAAUAACACAAUAAUAUAAUAACCGGAUUCUCCUCCAUGCAACAUUUAAAACACCUCGACUGUUUUGACGUGAAAAAUUCAAUUGGCGCUGCAAAAUAUAUUGGCUGUCGUUUAUAUGGGCACAUCGGGCUGGCGACAAAUCCAAAGAAUCGAUGCUUUGAGUUUGCUGCUCUGGAUUAGACAAAUCACUGCCCAAGCCGUGCUAAUGAGAAGAAGUUCAUCAGCUCCGCAUCAGUGCAGGGCCCCCGCUGAACCCCCGAGGAAUUGUUGUGUAAAGACCAUGUUCCUUGCAAAGAGCGAAACUAAAUGACCAAGAGGCGCAAAUUGGACUGGGGUGACCCAGGGCACUAAGGCGCAUUUCUGAUCAGAUAAUGCACAGGUCACCUGUGGGCUAACUCCACUUCACCAUUACUGCUUCUCUUUCUUUCUUUCGGCUAUCCAUUUUAUAAUGUCUAAAUCCCACUUUUCUGUGGAUCUAACUAUUCAACCAGAGCGGAUACAACUGGCCUCGCGGUUUAAAGUAACUUUCCAGCAAGUUCAGAUGGUAUUUCCCUCUCUGGCCACCUGCAAAAUAACUCAAGGCUGAGCAUAGCCAGGCCUGAUGCCACUUCCGGAUCCCCAGCUGCUCGCCCCUCCUGCCUGCCAGACCUUGGAGCCGUGUGGUUCUGGGGUUCAAGCCCCGUGUUUCCCGACUCCACGUGUGUAGUAGACACUGGUUUUGUAAUCGUUGCAGUCCCAUUUCCAGGGAGGAGGGUAACAUAUGGGUCGCGCGGGGACCCACUACAGAGAUCCCACUGCUGACAUCCCCGGAGAAAAGGGACCCUCGAUAGGGGAAAAGCCCACUGCAAAGGGGCCGGAGACACCCUCCCCAACCCCUGCCACCAGAAGCGAACUGGCCGCCUGGAGGUUUUCUUUGGACCACGGGGUAACCUUUGGGAGGGGCGGGGGUAAAUUGGGCGUGUUAGGCAAACCCUACAAGUGCAAUUGGCUCCGGGGAAUGGCUUUAAAGAGAUCCCGAGGCAAGGGAAGGGGGAGCGGGUGUGACCGAAGGCACUGCGCGGGGAAGGAGAGCCCAGGAGGGACUGGGUUCAACUGGGGCAUCCUUAGUGUCCCCUCUGCCCCCCACGCCUUAGAUGUCAUGCUGUAGGGCUGGAGCCCUGGCUCAAGUGGGAUCUAUAGAUCAGGCCAUUUUCCACCCCCCUCUUCCCUAUCCACUGCUAGAAACACCGACCGCACCCACAGCGUCCCCCCAGGACCUCAAUGGCCACCCAGCCCCAGCACCCAUCCCACCAGCUGCCUCCUCUCCCUGCUGGCCCCAGCACUCCAGCCUGGGCCAAGCGUAUCCCUCAGCCCUGCAGAAAAGUAGUUCCAAUACAAUGUUUGUUAACUAGGUUAUCUAGGCUGUAGAAGAUUUUAAUGUUGAAUUUUAUGGCUUUACCACGCUCUACCGUCCUUGUGAAUAUUGUAAUAUUGCAUUUUUUACAAGUUACUCUUCUGUUAAUGUUCCAGCUAGUAACUUUUAUAAUCCUCCUCAAUGAAAUUUUUUUGUAUUCUUCCGCACCGUUAACCUCAAUGGUGGCACCUCAGCCCCUGGCAGGAGGCAGAGAUGAAAUGAAUUCCUCUUUAAUCAGAAAUAAUAAUAAUAAAAACACACACAAGGCUCCCUCUGCCUUUUAUUUCAGCUUCCCUUCGAAGGGAGAAGGGGGGGGGGGUAUUCAGAAGUCUCCAUUCUCCCACUCUCUUGUGCUGCCUCUACUAGAUCGGGUUUAUUCCCCCCCCCCCCCCCGGCUGUUAAAUAAGGAGUCCCAUUUCUUUCCCUAGCCGAGCGCUAUCCAGCUUCACCUGACCCUGAUUUGCUGGGGAGAGGAACCCAGCAGCUAAUCCUCCUGCACUGCUGUGUGUCAUGAGUUGGCAGGUCUCACUAGAGCCUCUCCCAGGAUUUUU